AAUAUUAUAUCCUGAACUCAUUUCAACUGCGUGUGUAAAUCACCACCUGUAUCUGCAGAGAAAGUGUUUUAACCCAGCCUGCUGCCCCCAACCAACAUUAUUUCCAGCUUUGAACUUAUCCUGGGAUUGCUUUUGCUAGCCAGCUACUCUGCAGCUAAAGUGCUAUUGUUCCCUUUAAUAAUAGCCUAAGCAACUGUUCCUUUUUAAUGCAAAGUCCUGGAACUUAACAAGUUGAUUACAAGAUAGUGACUCACUUUUUAUCUCUUUCUGUGCCUCCACCCCACCUAGAUCUUUCUGCUCCUGCAAAUUUUAGUGAGUGGGUUACCUAGAACACCAGUCCAAUAAAGGUUGGAGUAGAAUACCAGACAAGAAAAGGAUGAGCUCAUUUCUCCUCUAUGCUGUCAGUCUUUGAACACAGUGAGACCUAUUAGCCAGAAAAUGCAUGACACAGGAGAAGAUGUACCCUCAUCUGUUCAGUGAGAGAUGUGC
ensembl:lncRNA CASC2 cancer susceptibility 2